GACGGACUCCCUUUUCUCGCCAAGAUUAACAUUUCAUAUGAUCGUUCUUGACAGAGGAUUUUCUUACAGAGGCCCCUUAAAGGAUAACCAAAAAAGGGCAUUUUUGGGGUGAAAAGUCUCAGUCACGACGAGGACUCCUACUAAGAAGUCCGGGUUCAGGAAUGCGUUAACCUUCUAUCCCUAAUUGAAUUCAUAACUUAUUUUUUAAAUAGACUCGAGUUUGAGAGAACGAGAGCUUUAUCGCUGUAUGAGUUUUGGAGGCAGGGAAACUAUAGGGAGAGGAGAGCGGCUACCAGAAGGAAACCUAGAUGUGUGCGAUUAUGUUUUAAAGGGAGGGGCUUGGGACUUUUUUCAUCAUUGCAUUACAGUGAGGAACCAGCAGAAUUACACACUCCCCUCACUGGCCUCUGUGGUUGUCUGAGACAUCGACUGAAGAGUACAACUUAACUUUUCUCCCCGUAUCAAGAUCCGCAGGCCACCGGUGAGCAUUCCACGAGAUCCCUCCUCCACCUCCUCUCAUCCUCUCCUGGCGAAGAACGAUGAAGACGAGGAGGAGGCGGCGAGGGAGAGGAGGCGCAGGGCGCGCCAGGACAGGAUGAAGGGCAGGGACGGGGAGGAGCCCUGUGGACAGACUGACGGCGGGACCAACAGCCACAGUGGAC
ensembl:lncRNA